rnacentral:lncRNA from 1 species
UUUUUUAGUUUCCUAUAAGUGUUCCUUGUUUGUCUACCAGUUUACAGCGAGUUAUACAGGGAGUCAGACUCCUUCAUUGUGACAGAAGUCUAUAAUACAAUAAUUGCUGUUGCAACACAUCGCCACAAAAAUUCACCUUUAAUUAAAUAUAAAAAAAGAAGAUGUGGUGUAAUUGCCAAUGAGAAAACUUUCCACAAGAGAGCAAAUGACCCAGAAAUUAACAACUGUAGGUCACCGUACGGCCUUCGACAGUGAUUAAAGCCGAUACCGCAUAGUCAGCCUUAAAAGGUCCCGAAAUGACAACUGUAAAACAAUUCAAACGAGAAAAUACCGGUCUAAUUUAUGUAAAAAAAAUAACGAAAGACAAAUAUAUAACACAUCAACAAACGAUAACCAUUGAAUUAUAUAGUCUCCUGACUUGGGACACAUACAGAAUGUGGCGGGGAUAAAGUUCAUCAACCAAGAACAGCAAACGCGAGGGAAUAAAUCAGUAAGUGGUACAAACGUAAAAUAAAAUCGUAUAUGUUACCAUUUUAACACCCUCAAAAUAAUUUAAGAAUAGAUAUAAAACAAAAUGUGGUAUGAGUGUCAAUUAGACAACUCUCCGUCAAAGUCACAAUUUUUAAAAGUAAACUAUUAUAGGUUAAAGAAAGGCCUUCAACAUGGAGCCUUGAAUCACACCGAGCAGCAAGAUAUAAAGGUCCCCAUAACUGACUAGUUGUCAUUCAAACAGGAAAAACCAAAUGUCUUAUCUAUAUAAAAACGAGAAACACAUAUCAACCACUGGGUACUUAAACAAACAACAACCACAUAGGACAGGUGCAAACAUGUACAUUUUUUAUUGAAAAAAAAACAGAUAAAACACAAAACCGGCAGGUGUAACACUGAAUAAGGUUCUCCAUUACGAAAAAAAAAAGACAAAGCAGUAAAAUAACUCUUGCAAAAACUUGUAUAAAAGAUCAGACGCAAAGACUGUGUAAUUCAAAACAGAUCUAGACAUAUAACAAACACAGAGCAAAACAGAGAUAUUUUAAGAAUUGUAAGUAAAACCAGAACAGGGGCAAUAAUAAACACAGCACGUGUGGGUAUUUAAGAUAUAAAAAGUAGCACCAUUAAUGCAUUUUGGCGUUUAAAGACAAUAUAAAGUCAUAACUAUGCAAAAGAAUAGUUUUGUUUCUUUUAAUAAAGCUUAGGCUUAAGCUUGGUACGAUUGCCAAUUAGACAAUUAUCUACUAUAGCCCAAAUGACAAAUGAGAAAAUUAUCCACCACUUAUUUGCGAAACGUUCUUUCCGUGGGAAGAUUUUCCUCAUUAUUCUUACCCAAAAGCGUUGUCUUAUAAAAUGGUGCCAGUAAUCAUCGAACCCUUUCCCGCUAGACUAUAAGGAGACAUACAACAAUCACCAGUAAAAUAAUUGACAAAAAAAAAUAAAAAAAAGAAUAUGGUUUAUGUGCACGCAGCAUGUAUCACUAAUACCUUUAUCGUUUACAUACGUUGCCAAACAAGUUUACGAACAAAAACUGAAAUAUAGUAACCAAAAAACAUGUACAGAGCAGCCAAACCCGUCUGAGAAGUUAAACAUAAUAGAGCUGAUAAUAAACUGACCAGUUUUGAACGUUUUUUCUCCGUUUUAAUUUUUCUGAAUGACAGUUUUGUAUGGCAGGCCGUUUUGCUAUUUAUUCUUACUUCAAGAUAUCUCAC